UCCUUACGGCUAAUUGCAAGCAGAUGCCGUGGAAGAGGAGGGAGGGGAAGGGCCUAGAGAGAGGCGCGCGGGAGCGGUCCCCCUCCUCCCCCCCAUAGCUGGUACAGUGGUCGCACCCGGCCCGCCCCUGCUGGCUGCUCUGCGUGUGUGUAUUUGUAUGUGUACUGUAUGUAAAAGGCGGGGAGGGAGGAAACGAUUGUUGUGGACCCGGUUUGGGGGCGGGUAUCCGGGCCUGUAGCCCACGGCUGCAUGUUUCAGAGAAUCUGGCAGCCCAAGUGCUUGUUCUCCCAUCCUUCUCCAUGGUGCGAGUGCUGUAAUGCUCCUGCGCGGUUUACAUCAUCCCAAAAAUGAAGAGCUGUGCGAAAACCCAGAGAUGAAAUUGGAAUAUGGAGCAGAUGCAGGACAUGAGCAGAAGGAGCCCUUUGUGUGAUGUUGAUUUCUUAAGAAGAGAAGAAAAAAGGUGGAGGAGCACAACUUAAGUAAUUACAGAAACAGUGGUCAGCUACAUCAUGGACCCGAAAGAGCAGAAAAAGGUCAGAAAGGGAAGUUUUUAAUCCCAAGUAAAAAAUAUCAAAGCAGCACCUGGCUGUCAUUUUGUGUGUGUGUGUCCCUCCCAUUGUUCUCAACUCUGUUAAGUAAGGCCUUGGAACUCCAGUCGUGGUCAGACACCAUAGCAUGGGCUUCACCUGAGGCCUUGUGAACAGCUCAGCCCCUCCCCCACCUACUAAUCCGCAUUUUUAAAAAGAUACCCCAGGUUGACUUGGGGGGGGGGGCACUGCCUAUGGAGAUCAGGAAACAACACCUGGAUCUCUUUCCACCAUGUGGGCCCCACGAUUAAAUUCAGGUCACCAGUAAAACUCAGCCUAGAGGAUAGAAAACUAGAGAGCAACCUGUAGGCAGAGCCUUCUUUGAAAGAGAGAGACAGGCAUAGAGAGGGAGAGAUAUCACACGAAGGUGUAUAUUACUAUGAAAAGAUACCUUGUGUUAGUGCUAAGUGGCCAUGCCAACAACUGAAAGAGAUGGGUACUGUGAGUGGGGAUAACUGGGAAAUCAUUUUUCUUAAAAAGGAAAGUGGAAAUGCACUUGAUGUAUUAGUGGUGAGGCAAUGUGAUAUACUCACUAGCUCACAAUUUCAGUUAGAAAUCAUCAGAAACAACUGGCAACACCUUUUACAUCAAGGCAAAACAUAUCAAGGCAAAACAGGUAGUGGUUUAAGCCUCCAGAGAACAAAAGGCCAGGGUCCCAGGGAACAACAAUCCUGAAUCUAAGUGGGAGGAGAGAAAGGGGGAAAGGGAGAAGGGGGUGGAAAUGGCUGGGUGUGUUUAAGUCACUGGCAAAGCUUUGCUCCUCCCCCACAGGAGAAGGAAUACACUUUCUAGAACUGUAACCAGCUAGCCAGAGAGGACAGGCAAGCUUCAAUGUUUGCCCCAAGCUACACUCUUCCCAUUCUACAGAUGAGAAAGCAGGCUCAGAGGCAGUAAGCUCUGAGACACAGGCACUUGGAGUAAAGAGGCCCGAGCCAACUUCCAGCCCUUCUGUUCUCUGCACUACACCCUUUUGUGAUUUUCACAAGCCCUAGGUUGCACAGGAAGGUUGGAGGCUGCAGAAGAAUGAGAACGGCCCGUAAUUAGGAAAAGAUGCCGGAAGUAGAUACUGCCUAGUUCUCUUAUUCCAGCUUCAAAUCCCUACCAAUCUCCGUAGACCCACCCCACUCCAAACAUGCUGGUCCUCUCUACCAGCCAGCCCUCUGUUUAACUCUUCAUGGGCCUAAAUGACCUGACCCAGAAAAGCACACCUAGUAUUUACAAUCUUCUAGUCUUUAAACUACUUAGAACAAACACUGUCUUCCUCACCAGUGCAGGUACUCAACAACUUUUUUUUCCAAGAUGGAGUUACUGAGUGAAACAGAGUAGACAGGGACUGGAGAGAUGGCUCGGUGAUUAAGAGCACUGACUGCUCUUCUAGAGGUCCUCAGUUCAAAUCCCAGCAACCACAUGGUGACUCACAACCAUCUGUAAUGAGAUCUGAUGCCGUCUUCUGGUGUGUCUGAAGACAGUUACAGUGUACUCAUAUAUAAUAAAUAUAUCUUUACCAAAAAAAAGAAAAAUAGGCAGAUGGUGAACCCUGACAGUGCUCUAAUUCCUUACAAGUCAGGGGCUGGAGAGGUAGCUCUGUAGUUAAGAGCACUGGUUGCUCUUCCAGAGUUCAAUUUCCAGCAACCACAUGUUGGCUUACAACCAUCUAUAGUGGGAUCUAAUAUUCUCUUCUGUCAUGCAGGCAUAAAUGCAAAUUAAGCACUCAUACGUAAAUAAAUUUUAAAAAAGAAAAGGAAACAGGUUAUAGGACACAUGAGGUAUGUGCUUCUCAAAUAGGUUGAGGCCUCAGCAGUUCUCAACCUGUGGGUUUGGUGCAUGUACAGGGAUAGCAUAUCAGAUAUCCUGCAUAUAAGAAACAGCAGCCAGAAAAUAAUUUUAUGACUGGGGAUCAUCACAAAAUGAGGAACUGUACCAAAGGGUCCCAGCAUUAGAAGGUGGAGAAUUAUUGGGCUGAAGGAUCAGAAGUUAGAAGGCAGCCUUAGCAGGCAAGAGGCCUGGGAUUCAACCCUCAUGGCAGAAACAAGAAAACCAAAUGAAGAUGUUCAUAUUUGAUUUUAUAUUUUCAUCAUAUACUUAAAAGUUGACCUUUAAAAACACUUUUUUGGGGGUUGGGGAUUUAACUCAGUGGUAGAGCGUUUGCCUAGCAAGCACAAGGGCCCUGGGUUUGGUCCUCAGCUCCAGAAAAAAACAAAACGGGGUUGGGGAUUUAGCUCAGCGGUAGAGCGCUUGCCUAGCAGGAGCAAGGCCCUAGCAAGGCCCUGGGUUCGGUCCCCAGCUCCGGAAAAAAAAGAAAAAAAAAAAAAAAAAGAAAAAAAAAAACAAAACACUUUUUUUCCUCUACAAAUCAUUUAUUAGAAAUAGAUAUGGCCCAGUGAUUAAAAGUACUUGCUGCUCUCCCAGAGGACCUAGUCCAGGCACCUACAUGCACAUGUACAUGCACAUGCACAUAAGCACACACAGACAUAUACAUACAUACAUACAUACAUACAUACAUACAUACAUACAUACAUACUAUUCUAAAAAUAAAGUAGGGCUGAAGAGAUGGCUCAGUGUUUAAGAGCACUGAGUUCCAGUGCUUAGGACUUCCAGAGGUCCUGAGUUCAAUUCCCAGCAACCACAUGUUGUCUCACAACCAUCUGUAAUGGGAUCUGAUGCCCUCUUCUGGUGUGUCUGAGAACAGCUACAGGGUACUCAUAUACAUAAAAUAAAUAAAUCUUUAAAAAAUAAAUAAAUCUUAAAAUAUAUGUCAGGGUUACAGAAGCAGAACACAGUAAGGUAGUCAUAACAAUGCAUGGUUAUAAUAACUUUUUGAAACAAAGGUAGGGUUGUAAGAUGGUCAUAACAAUGUUUUAGGGCUGAAGAGAUGGCUUAAUGGUUAAGAGCACUGACUGCUCUUCCAGAGGUCCUGAGUUCAAAUCCCAGCAACCACAUGGUGGCUCACAACCAUCUGUAAUGAGAUCUGAUGCCCUCUUCUGGUGUGUCUGAAGACAACUACAGUGUACUUAUAUAUAAUAAAUAAAUAAAUAAAAAUGUUUUAAAACCACGGCUGCGGUUUCCUGGAGCAGGCAGUACAGAACCACUCGUAGUUGAAGUCACAGGUGGGACCUAUCACAAUCCUUGAGAAACAGGUUUAAUCAUAAUCAUACAUCCUAAGGUUUAAUCACGUUAGGAAUGAGCGUAAGCUGUCUCUCCUAUGAGAUGGCUUUAAAGUCUAAGACAGAUGCAGACUGGGUCAUCAUUAUGCAUGGUGUGUCAAUCUCGUGUCAAGACUGUAAUGGGAAGUUAGCAAAUACAGUAUUAGUUUAACGCCCUUUAUUUUAAACAACCAGCUAAGUAGUUAGUCAGAGAUGCCCUAGAUGUAGGAGAGGCUUUUCUCCCUCUUAAGGACAAAUUUGGAAGUUCACCCUUGGGUAGAGAAAAACUAAAAUGGAUUAGCUUGUAGGCAAUGCCUACGACUGACACUGAGCUGAUGGGCCAAUAAUGAUCAGAAGACAGAUGCCUGUAGAGGGAUGGCUAAGAGACGGUGGGGAGGGGUCUAGAUGCUCAGUGAUAGGCUGAAAAGAAGCUAGACUGAACAGGUGUUACCAGGUCACCUGUGGGAGCUACUACGAAGGCCGUGUAAGCUCUGCAGCUGACCCAGUGGGUUUUUUUUUUAAUAACCUGGGCCAGGUAUAAAUGGCACGUGUCUUUUAAUUCCAGCACUGUAGAGGCAAACGCAGGAGAUCUUUGUGAGUUCAAGGUCAGCCUGGUCUACAAAUGGAGUUGCAGGUCACCCCAGGUUGCAUAGCAAGACCAUACCUCAAAAUUAAUUAAUCGGAGCACUCUCGUCUCAGACUUUGGGUUUGUUCCCUUGCUUCUCCAUGUCCAACUUCACUUAACGAUUUCUUGCCUUCACCUCCACCCACAGCUGCAAGUAAUGAUUCCCUCCGGUCUUUUCCCCCCUUGGUUCCUGCAGCCUUUCUCCUGUCCUCACUGGCUUCCUAAUGUUGAUACUUGAGAAUUCGCUUUAGAAGUAGAGUCUUUUUCCAGUCUGCUCCAUAGUCUGCUAGCCUGAUGACGUCUCUCAUUAAGUUCUUGUUCCAAAGUCUCCUAAGUCCGUGUGUUUUCCGAUAACACAAAUUAAAAAUGUGUGAAUUGAGUAAGGUGAAUCUGAAAAAUGGUGAGUCGAAGUUACACAACUAUUUUAACCAUAGGAAACCUUUAAAAAGCUAUUAAGAUAGUAUUUUUUUCAGGGAAGAUUGUGGUCAUCCAUCCAGUGAUUUUAUAUUUGUUUUAGAGACAAAGUCUGCGUGUCCCAAGGUAGCCUUAGACUUACGAUGCAGCUAGGGAUAACCUGGAAGUUCUGAUCUUCCUGCCUUCACCUCCUGAGUGCUAGCAUGGCAGGCACGCACCACUGUGCCUGGUCUAGUUCUUAGUCCCUUAAUAGUAGACCUCUGUUGUUUUCCUGGGAACUUUCCUGUAGGACCACUGAGGGUAGAGCACAUUGUCACCCCUCACUGAAGGAACAGCACAUUGUCACCCUCACUGAGGGUAGAGGAUAUUGUCACCACUCACUGAAGGAACAGCACAUUGUCACCCUCACUGAAGGAACAGCACAUUGUCACCCUCACUGAAGGAACAGCACAUUGUCACCCUCACUGAAGGAACAGCACAUUGUCACCCUCACUGAGGGUAGAGGAUAUUGUCACCACUCACUGAAGGAACAGCACAUUGUCACCCUCACUGAGGGAACGGCAUAUUGUAGUACAUUUUGGUGAUAUGCCUUCUUAGCCUGGUAAUACAUAGGACACAGACCUCUGAGCUUCUGUAGCUGAACACAAAGAGCUUUACGUAAUUUUUAGAUCUUUAAUGUUUUUUCAGGGUGUGUUGGCACACGCCAGCACUCCCAGCAUUUAGGAGGCAGAGUCAGAUGGAUCUCUAUGGGUUCAGAGCCAGCCUGGUUACAGAGUAAGUUCCAGGACAGCCAGCUAAGUAGAAAGACCCUGUUCCUCUUAGGUAAAUUCAUUAGGUGACCAGAUUAAUAAACUGUGUUGUGUCCACAUGAGGGAAUGCCAUUUAAUGCUGAAAAGAAAUGAGCUAUCAAUCAGUGAAAAGACAGAGAAAACCAACAUCAGUUACGAAGUGAAAGAAGGCAGCAUCUUGACCCUUCUUUAAUUAGAACAAAACCCAGGGACUAGGAAUACUAGGCCAAUGAACUCCAUCAUCAUCCCAAUAAACCUAUCUUUUUUUUUUUUCCUUCUGCAGCAAAGCGUUUAUUGCAUCUUGAAGAGGAGAGCACAAUAAACCUAUCUUAAGGGCUGUA